rnacentral:rRNA from 1 species
AUUGAACGCUGGCGGCAGGCUUAACACAUGCAAGUCGAACGAGUGGUGGACGGGUGAGUAAUGCUUGGGAAUCUGCCUUAUGGAGGGGGAUACUGACGGGAAACUGUCGCUAAUACCGCGUCCCAUAGGAUGAGCCCACGUGGGAUUAGUUAGUGGGUGGGGUAAUGGCCUACCAAGUCGAGGAUCUCUAGCUGGUCUGAGAGGAUGACCGACCAAACCGGGAGUGAGACACGGACCGGAUUCCGAAGGGAGGCAGCAGCGGGGAAUAUUGCGCAAUGGGGGCAACCGGACGCAUCCAUGCCGCGUGAAUGAAGAAGGCCUGCGGGUUGUAAAGUUCUUUCGGUGACGAGGCGGUAAUCACAGAAGAAGCACCGGCUAACUCCGUGCCAGCAGCCGCGGUAAUAC